UACAGCCAUAUCACGUUAAAACAUCGAUUCUCGUGCGAUCACCGAAGUUAAGCAACGUCGAACCCGAGCAGUACGUAGAUGGGUGACCGCUUGAGAAUACUC